UGCACCUACGGGAGGCAGCAGUUAGGAAUAUUCGGCAAUGGGGGAAACCCUGACCGAGCAAUGCCGCGUGUGAGAUGACGGCCCUAUGGGUUGUAAAUCACUUUUAUCUGGGAAGAACUGUAAGUAGAGGAAAUGAUACUUACUUGACGGUACCUUUUGAAUAAGCCCCGGCUAACUACGUGCCAGCAGCCGCGGUAAUACGUAGGUGGCAAGCGUUGUCCGGAUUUACUGGGUGUAAAGGGCGUGUAGCCGGGUUGACAAGUCAGAUGUGAAAUCCUGCGGCUUAACCGCAGAACUGCAUUUGA
rnacentral:rRNA from 1 species